CCUCGGGGGGCAGCAGUGGGGAAUAUUGGACAAUGGGCGAAAGCCUGAUCCAGCCAUGCCGCGUGUGUGAAGAAGGCCUUCGGGUUGUAAAGCACUUUCAGUGGGGAAGAAAGCCUUGGGGCUAAUACCCUCGAGGAAGGACAUCACCCACAGAAGAAGCACCGGCUAACUCCGUGCCAGCAGCCGCGGUAAUACGGAGGGUGCGAGCGUUAAUCGGAAUUACUGGGCGUAAAGCGCGCGUAGGCGGUCUGAUAAGCCGGUUGUGAAAGCCCCGGGCUCAACCUGGGAACGGCAUCCGGAACUGUCAGGCUAGAGUGCAGGAGAGGAAGGUAGAAUUCCCGGUGUAGCGGUGAAAUGCGUAGAGAUCGGGAGGAAUACCAGUGGCGAAGGCGGCCUUCUGGACUGACACUGACGCUGAGGUGCGAAAGCGUGGGUAGCAAACAGGAUUAGAUACCCGUGUAGUC
rnacentral:rRNA from 1 species